rnacentral:rRNA from 1 species
AGUGGGGAAUAUUGGGCAAUGGAGGAAACUCUGACCCAGCGACGCCGCGUGCGGGAUGAAGGCCUUCGGGUUGUAAACCGCUUUCAGCAGGGAAGAAGCGAAAGUGACGGUACCUGCAGAAGAAGCACCGGCUAACUAUGUGCCAGCAGCCGCGGUAAUACAUAGGGUGCAAGCGUUGUCCGGAAUUAUUGGGCGUAAAGAGCUCGUAGGUGGUUCGUCACGUCGGAUGUGAAAAUCUGGGGCUUAACCCCAGACCUGCAUUCGAUACGGGCGAGCUAGAGUGUGGCAGGGGAGACUGGAAUUCCUGGUGUAGCGGUGGAAUGCGCAGAUAUCAGGAGGAACACCAAUGGCGAAGGCAGGUCUCUGGGCCAUUACUGACACAUCAGGAGCGAAAGCGUAGGGGAGCGAACAGGAUUAGAUACCCGCGUAG